rnacentral:misc_RNA from 1 species
GGACUUUCAGCCACACAUACCAAUCAUGGUUUACGAAAUCAUGUUAAGGAUAAAUAUGGUCCUUAUCAUGACGAGAGUACUACCUCACUUGUAAACCGAUAUCUCUCUCUGUCUCGGACAGUGGUAACACCUGUAGUGUCAUACUCUUCGACAGGCAGGGAGUCUUUUGUAAGUGACCCCUAUUCUGCAAUUGGCAUCAAAGGCCAUAAGGGAAAAUUUCACACUGAAAAUGAAGGAGCAUAUCCACCAAUGGAAAGAUUCCACGCUGAAAACGGAAGAGCAUAUCCACCAACGGGAAGAUUCCACACUGAAAAUGAAAGAGCAUACCCACCAAUAGGGAGAUUCCAAACUGAGAAUGAAAGAGCAUAUCUACCAACGGAGAGAUUCAACACUGAAAAUGAAAGAGCUUACCCACCAACGGGGAGAUCCCACACUGAAAAUGAAAGAGCAAAUCUACCAACGGGGAGAUUCAACAGUGAAAAUGAAAGAGCAUAU